AGGGUGUGUUAAAAGGAAAGAGAAGAAGAAUUCCAUUAGCAACCAAAUCACACUCGAUCCUUCUCCGGUCUGUCGAACUGAUUCCAAAGGCCAAAGCUAUAAUGAGCAAUAACAACGGCAGUGUCCAAAGCCGCCUUCUUUCCCCACUUUAGUAAAAGAUUCCUGUACUCAGCCGACGAGCUCUGCCACCUCCGAUCGCGCACUCUCUCCCAAGCCACAGCCACAGCCACAGCCACCGCCAUUAGAAGCCAAACCCAGAGCGCGUCCGGGUUCUAUCCAUCCAUCCAUCCAUCCGUAGAUCCGAACAACCAACCGACCCAUGCUGCCCUCCUCGCUCUCAUCGUCGUCGUCAUGGUGGGUUUCCUGUCUCCGCUUCGUCCUCGCCCUUUCGCUUCUCGGCGUGGGCUCAGGAGGAGAUCCCUACGUGUACUACCAGUGGGAAGUCUCCUACAUCUCCGCCUCCCCUCUCGGCGUGAAACAACAGGUCAUUGGAAUCAAUGGGCAAUUUCCAGGACCAAUUUUGAGUGCAACAACAAAUUGGAACGUCGUUGUGAAUAUCAAGAACAAUUUAGAUGAGCCUUUUCUCAUGACGUGGAAUGGUUUGCAGCAAAGAAAGAACUCUUGGCAGGAUGGGGUUUUAGGGACAAAUUGCCCUAUCCCUUCUGGUUGGAAUUGGACUUACGCAUUUCAAGUCAAAGAUCAGAUUGGAAGCUUCCUCUAUUUUCCAUCAGUCAACUUUCAGAAAGCUGCGGGUGGCUAUGGUGGAAUUAUCAUAAACAACAGAGACGUAAUUCCUUUGCCAUUUGGAUUGCCAGAUGGAGAUAUAACUAUCUUUAUAAGUGAUUGGUAUAUCAAGGGCUUCAAGGACCUAAGAAAAACCAUUGAAGAAGGAGGCGAUCUAGGAACUCCUGAUGGGGUUCUCAUCAAUGGUUUGGGCCCCUACCGCUACAAUGAAUCACUUGUUCCUGAUGGCAUUAUUUAUGAGACGAUAAACGUGGAUCCAGGCAAAACAUAUCGAAUUCGAGUGCACAAUGUUGGAUUCUCAUCUAGCUUAAAUUUUAGAAUACAAAAUCAUAACUUGUUUCUAGUAGAGACAGAAGGUUCUUACACUGUGCAACAGAACUACACGAACAUGGAUAUCCAUGUGGGUCAAUCGUAUUCCUUCUUGGUCACAAUGGAUCAAAAUACUAUCAGCGAUUACUAUAUAGUAGCAAGUGCUCGGUUUAGCAAUUCAACUACCAGGGAUAGAUUCACUGGAGUGGCUAUAUUGCAUUAUUCCAAUUCCCAGGGGCCUGCUUCAGGUCCACUUCCUGAUGGCCCAGAUGAGGGUGAUACAUACUUUUCAAUGAAUCAAGCAAGGUCAAUCAGAUGGAAUGUCUCUGCUGGUGCUGCUCGUCCUAACCCACAGGGAUCUUUCCGAUAUGGUGAGAUCACUGUGACUGAUGUCUACGUACUACUUAACAGACCGGCAGAGAUCAUAAAUGGGCAGAUGCGUAAUACCUUGAAUGGCAUCUCUUAUAUUGCUCCUUUUACACCUCUUAAACUUGCACAGCAAUUUGAUGUGCCAGGAGUCUAUAAGCUUGAUUUCCCAAAUCGAAUGAUGAACAGACCUGCAAAAGUUGACACAUCCAUAAUUAAUGGCACUUACAAAGGCUUUAUGGAAAUUAUUUUCCAGAAUAAUGAUACUACGAUUCAGAGCUAUCACAUGGAUGGUUAUGCAUUCUUUGUUGUGGGGAUGGAUUUUGGGAUCUGGACAGAAAAUAGCAGGGGUACCUACAACAAAUGGGAUGGAGUCGCCCGUAGCACAAUACAGGAUGGCCAAGCGAAUCAUUACUCCUAAUCCUGGAAGCCACCCAGGAAGUUCAAGCCAAACCAAACCUCAAGGCUGCUACGCACCUGAAUCAACUAAUAAACCAGGUGACCUCCUGCAAUACCAACAGGAAAUGGACAAGCUCAGAACCAGGACACGUGACGGACUCUCAUUUAAUGAAGUGGGAUUAUCUGAAAGAAGACUGGGAUCAAUUCAAAAGGAAGCCUCCCGACAAGCACUUGAAGCAUUGCAACAAUUCUUCGACGUUCACUUAAUCAAGACUAAAGAGUAUCAGAGAAGGAGCGGUGGAAAAGACAACUGGUACAGGCACUGGUUACCAGUCGUUCUUCAACAGCAACAACAACUGGAGGAGGCCCUAUCUCUGGUAAAAGAUGUCUCACAAAGGACAACCAGUUUCAGCCUUUAAACAGCUGGAAUAUAUACUUUGCUUAGCCGCCAAGUAAAGACAAAUAGUGUGGGACAAAAUAUUUGCUUUUCUUAGCUACUAAGGAAAAUGAGUUGAGCCCCGGGGAGCCGCUCAUAGUAUCAUCAAUAAUUGUGCCAAGGAAUAUGCUUUCCUUCGUCAAGAAGUUAGAGAAAUAUCUGAUGAAAGGAUAAGAAUGCGAUGGGGCCCAAUGAGCACCCGGUUCUAUCCUCUUCCUCUAUAUAUUCUCUAGCUCAGUCUCUUGCAAGACAUCGGUCGAAAAACCAGAGUCUUACUUGAGCAGAAAUCUAUCCUCUGAUGGCCAAGCGAAUCAUUACUCCUAAUCCUAGAAGCCACCCAGGAAGUUCAAGCCAAACCAAACCUCAAGGCUGCUACGCACCUGAAUCAACUAAUAAACCAGGUGACCUCCUCCUGCAAUACCAACAGGAAAUGGACAAGCUCAGAACCAGGACACGUGACGGACUCUCAUUUAAUGAAGUGGGAUUAUCUGAAAGAAGACUGUGAUCAAUUCAAAAGGAAGCCUCCCGACAAGCACUUGAAGCAUUGCAACAAUUCUUCGACGUUCACUUAAUCAAGACUAAAGAGUAUCAGAGAAGGAGCGGUGGAAAAGACAACUGGUACAGGGACUGGUUACCAGUCGUUCUUCAACAGCAACAACAACUGGAGGAGGCCCUAUCUCUGGUAAAAGAUGUCUCACAAAGGACAACCAGUUUCAGCCUUUAAACAGCUGGAAUAUAUACUUUGCUUAGCCGCCAAGUAAAGACAAAUAGUGUGGGACAAAAUAUUUGCUUUUCUUAGCUACUAAGGAAAAUGAGUUGAGCCCCGGGGAGCCGCUCAUAGUAUCAUCAAUAAUUGUGCCAAGGAAUAUGCUUUCCUUCGUCAAGAAGUUAGAGAAAUAUCUGAUGAAAGGAUAAGAAUGCGAUGGGGCCCAAUAAGCACCCGGUUCUAUCCUCUUCCUCUAUAUAUUCUUUAGCUCAGUCUCUUGCAAGACAUCGGUCGAAAAACCAGAGUCUUACUUGAGCAGAAAUCUAUCCUCUGAUGGCCAAGCGAAUCAUUACUCCUAAUCCUAGAAGCCACCCAGGAAGUUCAAGCCAAACCAAACCUCAAGGCUGCUACGCACCUGAAUCAACUAAUAAACCAGGUGACCUCCUCCUGCAAUACCAACAGGAAAUGGACAAGCUCAGAACCAGGACACGUGACGGACUCUCAUUUAAUGAAGUGGGAUUAUCUGAAAGAAGACUGUGAUCAAUUCAAAAGGAAGCCUCCCGACAAGCACUUGAAGCAUUGCAACAAUUCUUCGACGUUCACUUAAUCAAGACUAAAGAGUAUCAGAGAAGGAGCGGUGGAAAAGACAACUGGUACAGGGACUGGUUACCAGUCGUUCUUCAACAGCAACAACAACUGGAGGAGGCCCUAUCUCUGGUAAAAGAUGUCUCACAAAGGACAACCAGUUUCAGCCUUUAAACAGCUGGAAUAUAUACUUUGCUUAGCCGCCAAGUAAAGACAAAUAGUGUGGGACAAAAUAUUUGCUUUUCUUAGCUACUAAGGAAAAUGAGUUGAGCCCCGGGGAGCCGCUCAUAGUAUCAUCAAUAAUUGUGCCAAGGAAUAUGCUUUCCUUCGUCAAGAAGUUAGAGAAAUAUCUGAUGAAAGGAUAAGAAUGCGAUGGGGCCCAAUAAGCACCCGGUUCUAUCCUCUUCCUCUAUAUAUUCUUUAGCUCAGUCUCUUGCAAGACAUCGGUCGAAAAACCAGAGUCUUACUUGAGCAGAAAUCUAUCCUCUGAUGGCCAAGCGAAUCAUUACUCCUAAUCCUAGAAGCCACCCAGGAAGUUCAAGCCAAACCAAACCUCAAGGCUGCUACGCACCUGAAUCAACUAAUAAACCAGGUGACCUCCUCCUGCAAUACCAACAGGAAAUGGACAAGCUCAGAACCAGGACACGUGACGGACUCUCAUUUAAUGAAGUGGGAUUAUCUGAAAGAAGACUGUGAUCAAUUCAAAAGGAAGCCUCCCGACAAGCACUUGAAGCAUUGCAACAAUUCUUCGACGUUCACUUAAUCAAGACUAAAGAGUAUCAGAGAAGGAGCGGUGGAAAAGACAACUGGUACAGGGACUGGUUACCAGUCGUUCUUCAACAGCAACAACAACUGGAGGAGGCCCUAUCUCUGGUAAAAGAUGUCUCACAAAGGACAACCAGUUUCAGCCUUUAAACAGCUGGAAUAUAUACUUUGCUUAGCCGCCAAGUAAAGACAAAUAGUGUGGGACAAAAUAUUUGCUUUUCUUAGCUACUAAGGAAAAUGAGUUGAGCCCCGGGGAGCCGCUCAUAGUAUCAUCAAUAAUUGUGCCAAGGAAUAUGCUUUCCUUCGUCAAGAAGUUAGAGAAAUAUCUGAUGAAAGGAUAAGAAUGCGAUGGGGCCCAAUGAGCACCCGGUUCUAUCCUCUUCCUCUAUAUAUUCUUUAGCUCAGUCUCUUGCAAGACAUCGGUCGAAAAACCAGAGUCUUACUUGAGCAGAAAUCUAUCCUCUGUAAGCAUUUCAAGCUUUGUUUAUAUCCAAAAUAUUGUAAGCAUUUUAAGCUUUCUAUAGUUCUUUGUGCUUAUCAUUUCUUAGAAUAUUUUGGAUCCCGCUUCCGUCCCCUUUUUGGUAUCAGAGCCGAUUGUAUUCUGUUUUGAUAUAGUCUCUAACCGAAUUGCUAUGAUAUUUAUGCUAAGUUUGCUUUGUAAAACAUCACUUACGGUUUAAAACUUGUGAGGAGCCCGAGGAAGGCAACCAGGUCAGGGAACCACAGUAAGACCUUUGACGCAAGCCCUCGAAGUUAAGAACGUAAGUAGAUCUAAAACAAUGCAUAUUUAGCAUAUGUCUAAGCUUUGGGAAGAAGCUAUUCAAAAAUGGUAUACAGACUCCCAUACCUCCCAUCUGGACUACCUAAAUCUAGCGGAGACUUCAAAACCCACUAAGAAAGAACUAGCUCACAACAUCUCUGUCAUUUACGACCGAACUUGUCUAUCAAGUAGAGUAAAUCUGAGAAACUUCAAACUUUUGCUUGAAGAAAACCGCAACCUUGAGCAUAGGGUUAAGAACCUCUGGUUUUUCGACCGAUGUCUUGCAAGAGACUGAGC